rnacentral:rRNA from 1 species
UACGUAGGGGGCAAGCGUUGUCCGGAUUUAUUGGGCGUAAAGAGCGUGUAGGCGGCCGUACAGGUCAGCUGUGAAAACUCGAGGCUCAACCUCGAGACGUCGGUUGAAACCGUACGGCUAGAGUCCGGAAGAGGAGAGUGGAAUUCCCGGUGUAGCGGUGAAAUGCGCAGAUAUCGGGAAGAACACCCGUGGCGAAUGCGGCUCUCUGGGACGGUACUGACGCUGAGACGCGAAAGCGUGGGGAGCGAACAGG